rnacentral:tRNA from 1 species
CCCUGGGUGGCGCAAACAGUUAGCCACUUGGCUACUAACCAAAAGGCUGGUGGUUCAAAUCCACCCAGAGGAA